rnacentral:misc_RNA from 1 species
UUUCCGUAGGUGGACCUGCGGAAGGAUCAUUCAUAAUAAAGUGUUUUAUGGCACUUUUUAAAAAUCCAUAUCCACCUUGUGUGCAAUGUUAGAUCUCGUCAAUCUUGGCGAGAUUUUUAUACAUCAACUCAUUUUUUAACUAAUUUGUCUGAAAAAUAUUAUGAAUACUUAAUUCAAAAUACAACUUUCAACAACGGAUCUCUUGGCUCUC